GCUUCGUACAGUUUCUGAAUUAUCUUGUCUGUUCAUUUGAUGAUUCUAACACACGAGGAUAUAGUUGUUCUAAGAACACCGCAACCAAAUACACUUGAUGAACUACCAGUGCGAAGCCCUUCGACCAGACUACCGAGAAAACACCCUUCUUCAGGAGAAGCCGCUUCUCCCAACUGUCUAACAAUUGCACUGCCGAUAAUCACACCAUCCGCUCCCCAGCCUGCAAUCUGCAUUACAAACAGCAAAGCAGUCAAAAGUUGUAACAUAAUAUAGACGUAAACCUGAAAAGAAAAUCGUGAGAGCUUAAUGUACCUGCUUCGCUUGCUCUGGAGUUGAUAUGCCAAAGCCAACAGCCACAGGUUUGUCUGUAACCUGUAAAUGCAGGAAAGAGAGACUAUUAACUUCAAUCAUUCUUCUACAUUCUACAGAUAAAUUUAUAUGCUUGCUCUAGUUUACUAUUUAUGAUAAGUAGUGUGUUUAUAGUUUGCAGACCUGCUUGAUCUCCUGAAGAAGAUGCUCAACGUGUAAGUUUACGUUUGAGCGCGUGCCUGUAACUCCAACAGCACUCACCUGCAUAACAUAUGCGCCACAUAUACCGGUAGAUUGAGUUUUCUAAUCAAAUUCAGGGUAGAUGUAGAAUAUGAUGGUGAACGCACAACAGAUGAAGUGAUGAAUCAAGUGCUUGAGAUGCCAUGAUUUUACUGUUUGCAACUUGCAAAUUUCACUUGUCUCCAUUUCCUUAAUGUUUUGUGGCCUUAAUGUGUUAGAUUUCCUGGAAAUUUAUAUGAAGCCCGAGAUGAAAAUGGCAUGC